AGCGAACGCUGGCGGCAGGCCUAACACAUGCAAGUCGAACGAACCUUUCGGGGUUAGUGGCGGACGGGUGAGUAACACGUGGGAACGUGCCUUUAGGUUCGGAAUAACUCAGGUAAACUUGUGCUAAUACCGAAUGUGCCCUUCGGGGGAAAGAUUAAUCGCCUUUAGAGCGGCCCGCGUCUGAUUAGCUAGUUGGUUGAGGUAAUGGCUCACCAAGGCGACGAGCAGUAGCUGGUCUGAGAGGAUGAUCAGCCACAUUGGGACUGAGACACGGCCCAAACUCCGACGGGAGGCAGCAGUGGGGAAUCUUGCGCAAUGGGCGAAAGCCUGACGCAGCCAUGCCGCGUGAAUGAUGAAGGUCUUAGGAUUGUAAAAUUCUUUCACCGGGGACGAUAAUGACGGUACCCGGAGAAGAAGCCCCGGCUAACUUCGUG
rnacentral:rRNA from 1 species